rnacentral:rRNA from 1 species
AUUGAACGCUGGCGGCAGGCCUAACACAUGCAAGUCGAACGAGUGGCGGACGGGUGAGUAAUGUCUGGGAAACUGCCCGAUGGAGGGGGAUAACUACUGGAAACGGUAGCUAAUACCGCAUACCAUCGGAUGUGCCCAGAUGGGAUUAGCUAGUAGGUGGGGUAACGGCUCACCUAGGCGACGAUCCAGAGCUGGUCUGAGAGGAUGAACAGCACAACUGGAACUGAGACACGGUCCAGACUUCGACGGGAGGCAGCAGGGGGGAAUAUUGAACAAUGGGCGCAAGCCUGAUGCAGCCAUGCCGCGUGUAUGAAGAAUGCCUUCGGGUUGUAAAGGACUUUCAGCGGGGAGGCGUUACCCGCAGAAGAAGCACCGGCUAACUCCGUGCCAGCAGCCGCGGUAAUUC